rnacentral:snRNA from 14 species
UCAAUUUUGUGGCAAGGGAAAUCCCAUGUUCACUGCCCAUUACACUGUGGGUGUACUGAUGGGUUCCCAUGGUGAGACCUGCCCAUUGUACUUUGGGCAUCCUGACUCCUCCAGGUUUCUCCCAUGCAAGAAACUUGACUGCACAAUUUUGUGAUGAUGGAGGACUGUAUGUGUACUUUCCCCAG